rnacentral:rRNA from 1 species
UCCGGUUUUUUAGACGUUCCAGCCUGCCCGGUGAUAUAAUUUAACGGCCGCGGUAUACUGACCGUGCGAAGGUAGCAUAAUCACUUGUUCUUUAAAUGGGGACUAGUAUGAAUGGCACCACGAGGGCUUUACUGUCUCCUUUCUUCAAUCAGUGAAACUGACCUCCCUGUGAAGAGGCAGGGAUACUACUAUAAGACGAGAAGACCCCAUGGAGCUUUAAACCCAACAACAGCCCAAACACCUACCCCCUCAAAGUUUUUAAAGUUUUGUUAGUUGGUUUUAGGUUGGGGUGACCGCGGAGUACAAACCACCCUCCACGACGAAUGGGCCUACCCCCUUACCCAAGAAUUACACCUCUAAGGAUUAACACAUUAACGUAAAAUGAUCCAAAUAUUUGAUCAACGAACCAAGUUACCCUGGGGAUAACAGCGCAAUCCAUUUUUAGAGCCCCUAUCGACAAAUGGGUUUACGACCUCGAUGUUGGAUCAGGGUAUCCCGGAGGUGCAGCCGCUUCCAAUGGUUUGUUUGUUCAACAAUUAAAACCCUACGUGAUCUGAUUCAAAAACAAGGA